UCAUGAAGUUUGCUAUAUCAAUAUUAUGUAAUUGGCUCUUAACCAGACAGCUGUUACUUAAACCAAUUAGGUAUGGUUAGACUUAAUCAUAGAUGUAUCCACUCCAAAUGCAAGGACUCUCUUGUGAAAUUUGCUCGCCACACCAUGAGAUAUCAAUUUCUUAACAGAGGUGGCAGGCUAGGCUACAUCCCUCUUCAAAUGGGCAUUUUAAACUUAUAUCUUUCCUUAAAUAGAAGAUGGCUUUGUCCAUUUUAGCACUGAUUUCAUCCAUUACAGUUUCCAAAAAGGUAUUCAGACAGAAAUGUUUCCAUCCAUGCAUGCAUUCUGACUUUGCAAUCAAGAGCUUUUCAAAGCCUAUCAUAUUUAUUCCUGCAAUUCUAGUGUUAUUGUAGCAGGAAGAAGA